UGUUCUUCUUGUCUAGGUGCAAACGAAGAAUAAAAGGGUUAGCACUUCUACUGGUCACCAGCAGAUUUAAGCAACAUACAACACUGAAACUUUUUUCAAAUGCGAAUGCAGUACUCAAAAGUUUACAAAUAAUGGAAUAUCAGCAGCAUACAGAUGUGAAUUGAUAAGCAAAGGAAAAUCUACAUAUUUUGUCAAACUUAAUAAGUCCAUACUGUUUAUUCUUUCCAAGAUCUUUAGACAUGAAAUUUGUUCCCAGGCUUUUCCUAGCAUCCAUUUGCUAUUUGUGAAUCAACUAUUCUAUUAUGGCUAUCUAUAAAUCAAGUUUUUUCUCCCAAAUUUUUAUCCCCAUUUUCACCCAUGUGCUUUACAACUAUUCCAUCUCUGCCCCUGUUACACACCAUAAUUGUAUGACACCUGUUUUUGUGGGCCAUAGCAACAAAAGCCUGAAUUCGAUUGGGAUGCUUUUAACCGACUUAAGGUUCGGCGGCACUUUGAUAACACACAAAAAAGAUCGGCGGUUUGAUCACACCCACAAAAGUUUGGCGGCGCCGAUAUAAACUAAUUUAGUGCUGUGAUGAUGGAAAUAGGCACAUUAUUUAGGUAUCACAGAGUAUGGAUAUCAAUUACUAUAAAUAAAAGAGAGGGAGUUGAUAAUUUCUUGCAAAGAGUUAAAAGUAUUAUCCUAUUCCCUUAAAUGAAGUGGGAAAUGUAGGCAUCAAUGGAUUCGUAAUCCAAUAUUAAACUAUCAUAAUAAUACUUGGACUGCCGUGUUUAAUUAACCUAAAAGUGAUCAAGGUUUGUGGGGCCCGUACCAUUAAACUUAAACUGCAACAUCAAAUUUUGUAGAACAAUACAUCAUUAUCAAGAAAUCAAUUUGGAAGCAAUGCACAUUGAUAAUGAAGGAAAUUCAAAAUACAAAAAUAAGAGCCCAGCCUUGUGGGAUCCAACAUUAAUAGAUAGAUGCCACAUGAAAAUUCAUACAAAAGUGUUUGAGGCACCGCAUUAGUAAUUGAGAAAAUCGGAGCACCUAAAAACAUUUGUCAGGUUAAGUGUGAAAACGAAUAUGACAAAUAUGAAGAAGAUCACCGAAGCUGAUUGAGGGAAUGAACCUUAUUAAUCAACAAAGAUGGCUUUGUUUGGUUUACAUUUUAGAAA